rnacentral:tRNA from 1 species
UUGGCCGUAGCUCAGUGGCAGAGCGCGCGGUUGUGGCCCGCGAGGUCGCCGGUUCAAAACCGGCCGGUCAACCCA